rnacentral:rRNA from 1 species
UGUUGGGGUAACGGCCCAACAAGCCAUUGAUCGGUACGGGUUGUGAGAGCAAGAGCCCGGAGAUGGAUUCUGAGACACGAAUCCAGGCCCUACGGGGCGCAGCAGGCGCGAAAACUUUACAAUGCGAGAAAUCGUGAUAAGGGAACCCCGAGUGCCCGUAAAUUCGGGCUGUCCGCCAGUGUAAAUAACUGGUGAAGAAAGGGCCGGGCAAGACCGGUGCCAGCCGCCGCGGUAAUACCGGCGGCUCGAGUGGUGGCCACUAUUACUGGGCUUAAAGCGUCCGUAGCUGGAUUGUUAAGUCUCUUGGGAAAUCCACCGGCUCAACCGAUGGGCGUUCAGGAGAAACUGGCAAUCUAGGGACCGGGAGAGGUGAGAGGUACUCCAGGGGUAGGAGUGAAAUCCUGUAAUCCUUGGGGGACCACCUGUGGCGAAGGCGUCUCACUAGAACGGCUCCGACAGUGAGGGACGAAAGCUGGGGGAGCAAACCGGAUUAGAUACCCGGGUAGUCCCAGCUGUAAACGAUGCGCGUUAGGUGUAUCGGUGACCACGAGUCAUCGAGGUGCCGAAGGGAAACCGUGAAACGUGCC